rfam:Oryza nivara chromosome 12, whole genome shotgun sequence.
AAAAAAAACAAACUCUGGUUUCCGUGUCCAAAGUUUGACCAUCCGUCUUAUUAAAAAAAUUAUGAAAAAAUAAAAAGAUAAGUCACGCAUAAAGUAUUAAUCAUGUUUUAUCAUCUAACAACAAUAAAAAUACUAAUUAUAAAAAAAAAUAUAAGACGGACAGUCAAACGUUGGUACGGAAACCUAGGGUUUGACUUUUU